rnacentral:rRNA from 1 species
GACGAACGCUGGCGGCGUGCUUAACACAUGCAAGUCGAACGGAAAGGCCUCUUUCGGGGGGUACUCGAGUGGCGAACGGGUGAGUAACACGUGAGUAACCUGCCCUUGACUUUGGGAUAACUUCAGGAAACUGGGGCUAAUACCGGAUAGGAGCUCCUGCUGCAUGGUGGGGGUUGGAAAGUUUCGGCGGUUGGGGAUGGACUCGCGGCUUAUCAGCUUGUUGGUGGGGUAGUGGCUUACCAAGGCUUUGACGGGUAGCCGGCCUGAGGGGGUGACCGGCCACAUUGGGACUGAGAUACGGCCCAGACUCCUACGGGGGGCAGCAGUGGGGAAUAUUGCACAAUGGGUGGAAGCCUGGUGCAGCAACGCCGUGGGCGGGAUGACGGGCUUCGGGUUGUAAACCGCGUUCGCUCAUGACGAAGCUUUGUGUGACGGUAGUGGGUAAAGAAGCACCGGCUAACUACGGG